UACAGAGGGUGCAAGCGUUGUUCGGAAUUACUGGGCGUAAAGCGCGUGUAGGUGGCAUGGUAAGUCUCGUGUGAAAGCCCUGGGCUCAACCUCGGAACUGCCUUUGAUACUGCAAAUCUCGAGUCCGGAAGAGGUGAGUGGAAUUCCUAGUGUAGAGGUGAAAUUCGUAGACAUUAGGAAGAACACCAGUGGCGAAGGCGGCUCACUGGUCCGGUACUGACGCUGAGGUGCGAAAGCGUGGGGAGCAAACAGG
rnacentral:rRNA from 1 species